CUCUCUCCACACAGAUCCGCAAGGUCAAAGAGGGGGAGCUGUUGGGAGACUCGCCACCACUGAAGGUAAAAGUUGGGGACUGGGUGAGGGUCAAGGUCCACAAGAGAAAGUGGCUGGAACCCAGGUGGACUGGGCCGUACGAAGUGAAGGAAGUUACUUCACACUCUGUCCAGGUCAAAGGUAAAUCAGGAGCACCUUGGCACCACCUUACACAUUGCACUCCAGCCCCAACCCCUUCCAGAACUUUGACUGAAACCAGGGCCGAUUUGCGCGCCCUACAUAAAUUCGAUUCCAACCACUGAAACCUUAGUUGGGGAAAAUGGGACAAUGGCUUCCGUUUCCACGACCUAAGGCACCACGCCCAGGGUCGGGGUACAUCCCUCCCCUGGGAGAGGCUGGGGAUAUCAGCUCCCCUGUUUGUUAUUUUUGUGAGUGUACACUACUAGGCUGAUCACCACCGCUAUUGACCCUGGUCAGGCUGAUAGGGGCCUAAUGUUUCCUUUGCUUCAGAUCCCAGCCCAUGCACCAUGGGACUAAAAUGUAAGAAGAUAUGUUUUGCCUGGAGAGAUACGGUUGCUAGCGUUUGUUUAAGAUAUAAAUGUAACGUUUUGAUAGCUUGAUUAGUUUAAAUUGAAAGGCUAACUAAUUAGAAAAUAAUAGCGAGAGAAUUUUGAUAUAAUACGUUCUCUGUUGCUGGAAAUGGCAUACAGAGAAAGAGUUGAAUGAUGUUAUUUUUUAUAAGUAUGGCGAUUUACAUGGUACAUAUAAGGACAUAGACAUUUCAUAAGUGUGAAGCCGAAAGAGAGAUACAGUUGGAAUAUUGGUUUUAAUCUUGUGAUAGAGGAAAGGCAGAACGCUGUUUGAAAAGAGGUAAUCGCUGGGCUAUGUUUGGCGGGAAAGAAGCGUUUUGUUUUGUGAUAAAUUCUGCUUAUUGAUUCGUGGUAUUGAUUGUUUAGUAACACCAGUGAAUUGAACAUUGCAAGAAAAAUAUCAAGUCAUUAAGGUGAAUUACAGGUGGAGUUAAUUUUAUAAUUAACUGGGAAGGUGCACAUUAAACACAGUUGUGUAUAAUGGCAGGGUAUUCCUAGCAAACAGAAUGGGCUGGUUUGCAGACAAACUGAAAGGGUUUUAGGGUUUUAAGCAAUCUUGGGUCAAAUUGGUUAAAUAGUACGUUAAAAUAUGGGGUUUCAUAGAUUGAAGUACAGUAUUGUAUCCAAGGGUAGCGCAUGUUCAAUUAAGUUUAAAACUAAUGAUUGGGGGGAAUACAAUGGAAGUAUAAGCAUUUUUAGGUUUUGUUUGUAGGUAACUUUUGGGUUUCUGAAUCGGUGAAGUAUGAGGAAAUGCUGACCAAAUGGUUAUUUUAUGGAAUAUGGAGCGCUUAGCUCUUUGGGGAAAAAUUCCUAGGGACAUGAUAUAUUAAAGGGGUAGACACACAUGACAUUUUAAAGUUUUAUUUUCUGAGUUUUAAUUAAACACGUGAAAUUCUUUUGAUAGGGAAUGUUCUGGGAACUUGAGAUACGAAAUCUAGAUAAGGUUAUUAGCUUUCAUUUGUCUAAUGUAGUAAGAAAGAAAAAACGGUUCUGAAAAGGGGUUAUGACUUUUUUGACCCCACUGGUGACUUUUCCUUUUGUGGUCUGAUCAGCCGCAAUGAAAAGCCAUUGGAUGGUGAAUUUAAGGUCAUUUGGGAUACUAACUUUAAGGAAACUAGGAGAACUGAUAAUUAUGAUGGAGUUAAAGUUCUUAGACACAAUUGAUAAUUUGAACCAAUGAGAAGACAAAAUGACGAAAAGGGUACAAUAAUUUUUCUUUGGGGAGUAGUUCAGAUUAGUCAUUUUGAUCUGAUUAUGUUACGUGAAUAUCGUUUGAUAAGUAGGGGUACUUUUUACAUUAUCUAGAUAAGUUUAUUUUCCCUUAGGAAGUCAGCUGUGGUUGUAUUUAGUGGAAGAGAUUUAACACAACAAGACUGUGGAAUUAAUAUAAUAGUAAUAUUAUAUUUUGUUGAUAAAACAGGUUAAUAAUGGUAGACUUAAGCCAACAGGACAGGAAUAUAUGACAUCUGUAGGGAAUCCAGGAUUAUUGAGGGUAUCGAGAUAAAUGUAAAUAGCUAUGUAAUAAGACCAUGAGACAUUUAGUACUCCCCUGCACUGCUGAGACCUUGAUGGGUUGGAAGAAGAAGGAGGAGAGCAUAAACAAGGAAGAGAAGAUAAAAGUAACAUAGAAGAAUUAGAUAACGGUUAGUGAGUGGAGACCAGCAUAGUUAAAUUAUAAACAGGUGAGGACAGAAAUAACACUGGGAGAGACAGAAAAGACAUAAGAAUAGAAGAUAGCAGGAUAAUUUAGUUAGGUUCAUUUAGUUAGGAUAUUAAUACAUGGAGAGACUAUCGGCUCCAUAGGCAUGUAUUAUAGUUUUGAUUUUAAGUUAUGUUUGGUAAAAUUCGCUAGGAAAAGAUAUGAUAAUUUAGUUGAAAGAAGUUGUUCAAUCUUAAAGAAGAUAGGACACUUGAUAGAGAAAUGCACAGGGUACCUAAGGAUGAAUGCCCCAGGGAGAAUUGGACAUGUGGUAUAUGAAAGGGGGCAAUCCUACAAGAGAAGGGCUGACAUAAGGAUAAUUUACUAACCUUACAAAAGACAUUGUUAAGAAAUGCAGCAAAAUUGAUACAUGGUUUGAGCCAUGUAUAAAAAGGGGGAGUAAGGGGGAGUAUAGUAGAGCAGGCGAUAGAACAGGAUAGGAUGCUACUAGAACAAAAACAUUUUUUGUAGAAUGUCCGUUCCAACAUUUGGAAAUGGACUUAUUGAACUAUUCCGAAUUGAGGGGAAUAAGGGGUGUUUAACAAUAACAGAUAAGUAUAGCAAAUGGGUAGAAGUGUUCCCAACUUACUUGGUGGACAUGAUUAUGGUAGCUAGAAUAUAGGACAAGAUAUAAUCCCUAGUGUUGAUACUGGGAUCUAUCUCUUUAAAUGAUGGAUGACAGUUUAGCUAAUCAGGUAGAGCCUAUAGAAUGCCAGAGUUAGGGAGAAUAGAGAUACCAGAACAGGUAGACAUAGAAGUUAAAGAUAUACUAGCAGAGCACAUGAGAAGACUGUUUGUUAACCAAACCCGUAUGUCCAAGAUUUUGUGUUCAACAGGUGAAUUACAGGAGAAGGUGAUUCACUCAAUCCAACCAGGAGACUGGGUGUGGAUCCAGUCCCUGAGGAGAAAAGACUGGAAGCAGCCCCGUGGGGAAGGCCCAUACCAGGUGCUGUUAAACCAUUGCCUUUGCCAUUAGAAAAGCUAAGAGAGUCACUUGGGUCCACGUUACCCACUGCAAGGAGGUAUUUACACAUAUGACCACUGCUGAUCACACACAGAGUUAGGAGAAGAACCGAUACCAACAGGGUCCGGGGGUUACCUCCUUAACGAAGAUUCCCUAUCCCGACCGUUCAUCACUGUGUGUGCUCCUAGAGGUGUGAGUAUGGGGUGGUACCAAGCAGAGAGACUAAGGGCAGGAGAGGGUUGACGGUUUUUGGGAAGAGUAGAAACUCUGAGCUGCAUCAUAGUCUAAUCUUUCUGAUAUAUUCAGAUCCACCACCUACUGGUACUAAACAUAGGUUACCGUUGUCAUGGAGAAGAAGUAAAAGAUAAACUAUAUAAUACACUGAUGAGUGACGUACAGAAUAAGGAAUCAAAGAAGAUCAAGAUGUAGAAUUUAAGGUAAACAUUAAACAAUUUCCUGGGGAAGCAGACAACUGUACAGGAAUAUGGGUUGGCCAGAUUGAAGUACUCAGCCAACCCACCUCGGUUCACCUAAAUUCCGGAGUGAAUACCAGUGUUAUAGAUACAAAAAUGGCACCGAGAAUUAAGAUGAUUUUAAUGGCUGGAAAGGUAAUUGUUAAUAUGACUGACUUAGGUUUGAAAGCACAGGAGAAAAUGUGUAACCUCAUAGCACCUAUAACUGAUGAAGGGUGGGCUAGUACCAGCAAAGGACGCAGACGACAGAAAUGACCACAAAGGGUGGUUAGGAAUUGCGCCCUGGGGUUAUUGGUCUAACCAGUUCGAGUUAGUCAUCAGAGGCCAGUUAUAGGAGGCUAAAGUAGGCACAGGAGGAGUUUUGACCAGGAUGGGAGUAGCUUUACAAGAUGGAUGCUAUUGGCAUCCUCAGGGAAGUUCCAGAUGAAUACAAAGCUAUGAAUCAAAUAUGUGAAGGCUUUAACACUACAUUAUUUUGGUAGUUGACAAUAAAUAAUAAUGUGGAUUGAAUUAAUGACAUCUUUUAAUCAACAGAGAUUCAUGAAUGAAACAGGGGAUGCAGUAAAGAGGUUCUCUGACCAAUUAUCCGCCACCUCCCUCAUGACCUGGUAAAAUAGACUGACUCUCGAUAGGUUACGGGCAAAGAGGAUGGUGUAGGUAGAAUGAUUAGGUUCAUUGCUGUACGUACAUUUUUGAUAACACAGAUCAUGUUUGGGAAAUGGAAAAGUG
rnacentral:lncRNA from 1 species